rnacentral:rRNA from 1 species
AUUAGCUAGUAGGUGGGGUAACGGCUCACCUAGGUGACGAUCCCUAGCUGGUCUGAGAGGAUGACCAGCCACACUGGAACUGAGACACGGUCCAGACUCCUACGGGAGGCAGCAUG